CACGUGGGGUGCGAGCGUUGUCCGGAAUUAUUGGGCGUAAAGAGCUCGUAGGCGGUGUGUCGCGUCGGCCGUGAAAACCUGCAGCUUAACUGUGGGCUUGCGGUCGAUACGGGCAUCACUGGAGUUCGGCAGGGGAGACUGGAAUUCCUGGUGUAGCGGUGAAAUGCGCAGAUAUCCGGAGGAACACCAGGGGCGAAAGCGGCCGACUGGUCGAGUACUGACGCUGAGGCGCGACGGCGUGGGGAGCAAACCGG
rnacentral:rRNA from 1 species